GAUGAAGAACGUAGCGAAAUGCGAUAAGUAAUGUGAAUUGCAGAAUUCAGUGAAUCAUCGAAUCUUUGAACGCACAUUGCGCCCGCCAGUAUUCUGGCGGGCAUGCCUGUUCGAGCGUCAUUACAACCCUCAGGCCCCCGGGCCUGGCGUUGGGGAUCGGCGGAAGCCCCCUGCGGGCACAACGCCGUCCCCCAAAUACAGUGGCGGUCCCGCCGCAGCUUCCAUUGCGUAGUAGCUAACACCUCGCAACUGGAGAGCGGCGCGGCCACGCCUUAAAACACCCAACUUCUGAAUGUUGACCUCGAAUCAGGUAGGAAUACCCGCUGAACUUAAGCAUAUCAAUAAGCGGAGGA
rnacentral:misc_RNA from 1 species